rnacentral:rRNA from 1 species
AUCGCAUGAUAUUUUUAUUAAAGAAUUUCGGUUAUCGAUGGGGAUGCGUUCCAUUAGUUUGUUGGCGGGGUAACGGCCCACCAAGACUACGAUGGAUAGGGGUUCUGAGAGGAAGGUCCCCCACAUUGGAACUGAGACACGGUCCAAACUCCUACGGGAGGCAGCAGUGAGGAAUAUUGGUCAAUGGGCGAGAGCCUGAACCAGCCAAGUAGCGUGAAGGAUGAAGGCUCUAUGGGUCGUAAACUUCUUUUAUAUGGGAAUAAAGUUUUCCACGUGUGGAAUUUUGUAUGUACCAUAUGAAUAAGGAUCGGCUAACUCCGUGCCAGCAGCCGCGGUAAUACGGAGGAUCCGAGCGUUAUCCGGAUUUAUUGGGUUUAAAGGGAGCGUAGGUGGAUUGUUAAGUCAGUUGUGAAAGUUUGCGGCUCAACCGUAAAAUUGCAGUUGAAACUGGCAGUCUUGAGUACAGUAGAGGUGGGCGGAAUUCGUGGCGUAGCGGUGAAAUGCUUAGAUACCACGAAGAACUCCGAUUGCGAAGGCAGCUCACUAGACUGUCACUGACACUGAUGCUCGAAAGUGUGGGUAU